rnacentral:rRNA from 1 species
AAAGAGCUCGUAGGCGGUUUGUCGCGUCUGCUGUGAAAGCCCGGGGCUCAACCCCGGGUCUGCAGUGGGUACGGGCAGACUAGAGUGCAGUAGGGGAGACUGGAAUUCCUGGUGUAGCGGUGAAAUGCGCAGAUAUCAGGAGGAACACCGAUGGCGAAGGCAGGUCUCUGGGCUGUUACUGACGCUGAGGAGCGAAAGCAUGGGGAGCGAACAGGAUUAGAUACCCUGGUAGUCCAUGCCGUAAACGUUGGGCACUAGGUGUGGGGGACAUUCCACGUUUUCCGCGCCGUAGCUAACGCAUUAAGUGCCCCGCCUGGGGAGUACGGCCGCAAGGCUAAAACUCAAAGGAAUUGACGGGGGCCCGCACAAGCGGCGGAGCAUGCGGAUUAAUUCGAUGCAACGCGAAGAACCUUACCAAGGCUUGACAUUCACCGGACCGCCCCAGAGAUGGGGUUUCCCUUCGGGGCUGGUGGACAGGUGGUGCAUGGUUGUCGUCAGCUCGUGUCGUGAGAUGUUGGGUUAAGUCCCGCAACGAGCGCAACCCUCGUUCUAUGUUGCCAGCACGUGAUGGUGGGGACUCAUAGGAGACUGCCGGGGUCAACUCGGAGGAAGGUGGGGAUGACGUCAAAUCAUCAUGCCCCUUAUGUCUUGGGCUUCACGCAUGCUACAAUGGCCGGUACAAAGGGUUGCGAUACUGUGAGGUGGAGCUAAUCCCAAAAAGCCGGUCUCAGUUCGGAUUGAGGUCUGCAACUCGACCUCAUGAAGUCGGAGUCGCUAGUAAUCGCAGAUCAGCAACGCUGCGGUGAAUACGUUCCCGGGCCUUGUACACACCGCCCGUCAAGUCACGAAAGUUGGUAACACCCGAAGCCGGUGGCCUAACCCCUUG